rnacentral:lncRNA from 1 species
UGUGUUGUGUGAUUAGGAUGUACAUACUAUGGGUGUGAUUGUGUACAUACCUUGUAUGAAUUAUCUAAAUUCUCAAAGCAGUGGAAAACAGGAAGAAGAAACAGUUGUUCAAAAGCCUCAAAAAGGCUAAUCAAUGUGAAUUUUCGUUUUCUACACAUAAAAAUGUAUACAUAACAUAACUGUAAAUAGAUUACCCACAUAUGUAUGCACACGUAAAUGCAUUUUAUUCAUACUGGUACAUUUAAAUCGAUCACAAAUUAAAACAACUAAUUGAAAAUUGCAUCUUUUCAUGACUGUUUGGUUUCACGCAGAUUGAUAUCAGAUUAUAUGCUCCUCAUUUAACGGUGUUACUCCCUCGUAGCACAUUUCCUAAGCGCCAAGAAAGCCCAGCCCCACCGAGUCACGAAAAUCUAGGUGAUAUUACUUGAGACACAGACAGGUACUUGAGCAGCUGCAAAGGUUUAGUGCUGUUCUUUAAGUACCUAAUGUUUUAUCUGGAAAUGACAAACACCGGGGGAAACC